rnacentral:lncRNA from 1 species
GUGAGCAUCAUUGCCCCCUCCUGCUACCUUCAGGCAAUUUAUAGGGUGGAGAUGGAGAGAGAGAUUCUUUUGGCAAAGGGAGGGAGAGGGAAUGCCAACUACUUUUCCUCCCCAGAGAGAUGCUGGGAGAUUCUUAUGAAGUUUCAGGGUGUCAAAAAGGGGCAACUGCAUUUCUUUCCAAGUUGGAUGUGUGCUUAGCCAGCAGGCUUUUCCACCUGUCCAGUGCUACUGGAGCAGGGUAAGGGCAGUGUAGACAGAUGGUUUGGUGGUGGGCACCAGCACAGAAAGGGGGCAAUGACCCUGUCCUGAGUUCUUGAUGACUGAGAGGUACAGAGAUAGGUUCUCGCCAUGCCUGCAGGCACCAAUGUUAGGAAUAAAGAGAGCAGAGGAGAUUGGAAGCCAGAGAUUCUCCGAGGACAACCACAGGAUGUGACCAUAAAGCCCUACGUCUAAGGGCAGAUGCAGGGAGGCUAUCAGUCCCUUCUUGGAACGGUUCUUCAAAAUUUACAGUAUGGAAAGCCCAGCGGUGAUGUUCAAGCCUCUACUGAGAAAACAGCAAGGGCUUUGGAUCAGGACAGACCUGGAGCAAAAGAGAAAGAAAUCAGAUGGAAACGAAUCCAUCCAAGUGGAUUAGGUAGAGCAAGUCAGCUUUCUUUAACCCUGAGCUCAAAUUCCAGCCUCUCCUUGAAAUACAGGUAGUUCUUUAUUUACAGAGCAUUAUGUCAACACAGACUUGUGCAUAUGGGAACUGGACACUUGCUUUGUAUGUUUCUUUGGUAACUGAG